UGGGGACUGUGGCUGCGAGGUUUUACCACUUCGCAGUUGCGGAAACCAUUUUUAUCGCAUUGGUUUGAACCGGGUAAAAGUCGUAACAAGGUAGCUGUAGGUGAACCUGCAGCUGGAUCAUCG
rfam:Caenorhabditis japonica strain DF5081 Contig9219.1, whole genome shotgun sequence.